rnacentral:lncRNA from 1 species
GCUAAUUUUAAGCAAAAAUAGAGAAAUAAAUUAAAAAUCGUGAGUUAGCUAGCACAUAAUUAUAAAUCAAAGCAACAAAUAGAGAAAAUGAAAUAAUAUCACAAUUUAACGAGGUUUGGUUAAAUUCACAAGAUAACAUAAGGAUUUAAUGAGAUUUAAGUAAAUAUAGUCUUCGAGUAAAAGUAAAGAGAAUUCUUACAGUACGAAUGAAAAAUAUUUGCACACACUAUUACAACAGCAACAACAGGCCUAGUGUAUUCCCACAAAGUGAGGUCUGGGGAGGGGAAGAUGUAUGCAGUCCAUACCACUACCUUCGAAGAAGUAGAGAGGUUGUUUCCGAUAAACCCCCGACUCAGAAUCUCAAAUAAUACACCAAGAUCGUAUUGGAACAUGUAACAGGAAAGGUUGGCAUGCAGACAUAAGAAAUAAUAGAAAUAAAUAUUAGUGAAGUACGAAAUAAGAGAAAUACGAGCAAUACGAAAUAAGAAAUAAGAACUAGGACACCCCACUUACCCACCCCACCCGAACUCACUUGGCUAAAGGCUCCUACUCAAGAACACCGGCCUGGGAUUACUGCCCGGAUAUGCAAUCGCUCUCCUAACACCUAGCCACAAUCCAUACACUCGCCCUAACCUUCUACCCGAAUCCGCGACCUCCACACCUUACCGUCUAGGGUCAUGUCCUCAGUGAGCUGCAGCUGCUCCAUGUCUUGUCUAAUCACCUCCCUCCAAUAUUUCUUUGGCCUACCUCUACUCCUCCUAAAGCCAUCUAAGGCCAGCCUCUCACACCUCCAAAUUGGGGUAUCCGUGCCCCUCCUCAUCACAUGUCCAAAUCAUCUAAUUUGCACACACUAUUAAAGAACGGAAAAUUAAUUGAUAAAACUAUCGACGAGCCUAAUUUUGACAGAUUUUCAAAUCGGAAGUCCAUGGACAGAUGCAUAGUUUAUAUAUAUAUAUAUAUAUAUAUAUAUAUAUAUAUAUAAUUUUAGAAUGGUUAGAGCCUCAGUUGAUUUGGACCUUCUUCAGAUUUCUUUAAUUCAUGCGUAUAUAUAUACACACGAUGGCGGUGUUCGGAUAAAUUUGUACAUAUUAUUAUGUAAUUGGGUGUUUACUACUCCCUAUCAGUACAAGUAAUGGAUAAUUUUGUUAAUCAAAACUUGGACAGAUGAGAAAAAAUCACUAAGUAAUUUUUAUUCCAUCUGAGAUUUAAACCAGCAGGCAAAUGAUACAAUUUUGAAUUUACGAGUUCUAAAUUUUUAAAAAGAUAGUUUAUUAGAUUCAUGAUAAAUUAUUUAUGCAUAUUAAAGAAUUUUGAAGAUAAUAUUGAUUUAAAGCUAUUGUAUUACGUCGAAUGAAAUUAUAAUUUUAUCCUAUUUAAACCUACGACCAUACAGUUCAUUUACUUUAUUAACCACUAGACAAGUGACCUAUUGGAUGCUUAUAUAGUUAUAUUUUACCAUGUGAUAGAAUAAAAUUCUUUUAAAUUAGACCUUACAAAAAUAUAGACACCAAAUCUAUUAGGAUAAGUUAUCAUGUUAUAUUGAUAUUCUGGCCUUUUAUCCUCAAGGUAUCAUUCUUAAUUAAUCUUUUUUUAUUAUUUUUUUUCUUGAGUUCCUCGUGAAAAACUUUUAAAUAAUAGUUUGAAUCGUGAAGUCGGUUAUUAAUAUUUAUUAAGAUAAAAGGUCUAUAUCAUUCUCUUUCGAACUAUGAUCUUUCAGUAAAUCUUAUAUAAAUAAAAAAAAUUUAAUGCAUCAAACGGUCUAUUUUUUAAAAAAAUAAAAUAAAAUUAAACUACAAUCAAAGGACCAAUCCAAUAAAGAUUAUGACUAAAUUAGGUCUUCCUUAAUUAAUAUGCAAGCAAAAAAUAAUUCUUUUUGAAUUGAAAAAGGAACCAAAGAACAAUUAAACACAAAACAUUAUGAAUAUCUGAAAUUAACAAAGAAGAGUAACAAUAAAUUUGCUAGAGAAAAGAUGCAAGUGAAAAAUCAACUUAAUUACCUCCUCCAUCUCAAAUAAUCUAUCGUGAUUAAUAAAAAUAAUUAUCUCAAAUUAAUUACUUUUUCCCAGUUUUACAUUUGAAGAUUAUAAUCAACUCAAUUAUAGGUGAUGUUAUGAUUGUUCUAAUAUCAAUGAAGUGUAAAAUAGUUUUUAAAAAACUCUUCCUAAUUAUAAGGGGGAUGAACAAUAAAAUCAUCAUGACAAAUAAUUUGAAACCUAAUAAUUAACAAAUAAAGUUCACUUUCAAAUCUUAUUCCCCCCCCCCCCACUCCCCCGCCAAAAAAAAGUAAUUACUAUCAUUUGAGAUCUACUCACAAUGAUUAAAUAAACCCUAAUAAAUCAUUGCACAAAAGAGUGGUUUUAUAAUAACCUUAUACAAUUACAAAAAAACAACCAUACUAACUUUCAUAUAUACAUAUAUAAAUUUUUUAAUUUUUUUUUUUUUUUUAAAA